CCUAACACAUGCAAGUCGAACGGGCCCUUCGGGGUCAGCGGCGGACGGGUUAGUAACGCGUGGGAACGUGCCUCUUGCUCUGGAAUAGCCCCGGGAAACUGGGGGUAAUACCGGAUGUGCCCUGAGGGGGAAAGGUUUACCGGCAAGAGAUCGGGCCGCGUCUGAUUAGGUAGUUGGUGGGGUAAUGGCCCACCAAGCCGACGAUCGGUAGCUGGUUUGAGAGGAUGAUCAGCAACACUGGGACUGAGACACGGCCCAGACUCCUACGGGAGGCAGC
rnacentral:rRNA from 1 species